rnacentral:rRNA from 1 species
CAGGUAGUAACAGAGGGUUCGAUCCUGGCUCAGAUUGAACGCUGGCGGGAUGCUUGCACAUGCAAGUCGAACGGCAGCACGGACUUCGGUCUAUGGCGAGUGGCGAAUGGGUGAUAUAUUUAAUGUGUCGGCAGGGGGAUAACUACAGCGAAAGCGUAGCUACUACCGCAUACGCCCUUCGGGGGAAAGCGGGGGACCUUUCGGCCGCACUAUUAGAGCGGCUGAUAUCGGAUUAGCUAGUUAGGUAAGUAAAUGUACCACCAAGGUUAUCAAUCCGCAGCUGGUUUGAGAGGACGACCAGCCACACUGGGACUGAGACACGGCCCAGACUCCUACGGGAGCAGCAGCGGGAAUUUUGAUGAAUGGGGGAAACCCCGAUCCAGCCAUCUCCAAGUGUGCGAUGAAGGCCUUCGGGUUGUAAAGCACUUUUGGGUGGAAAACGGCACGGGAUAAUACCCUGCAACUGACGGUACCUGCAGAAUAAGCACCGUAUAACUACGCCAGCAGCUGCGGUAAUGUAGGUGUAAGUGUUAAUCGGAAUUACUGGGCGUAAAGCGUGCGCAGGCGGUUCGGAAAAGAAAGAUGAACCAGAGCUUAACUUUGGAACUGUAUUUUUAACCACCGAGCUAGAGUGUGUCAGAGGGAGGUGGAAUUCCGCGUAGCAGUGAAAUGCGUAGAUAUGCGGAGGAACACCGAUGGCGAAGGCAGCCCUCCGGAGCAACACUGACGCCUGCGCACGAAAGCGUGGGGAGCAAACAGGAUUAGAUACCCCGGUAGUCCACGCCCCAAACGAUGUCAACUAGCUGUCAGCCUUCGGGCCUCGGUAGCGCAGCUAACGCGGUGAAGUUGACCGCCUGGGGAGUACGGUCGCAAGAUUAAAACUCAAAGGAAUUGACGGGGACCCGCCGUAAGCGGUGGAUGAUGUGGAUUAAUUCGAUGCAACGCGAAAACCUUUACCUACCCUUGACAUGUCUGGAAUCCUUCUGAAGAGAUUUAAGAGUGCUCGUAAGAGAACCGGAACACAGGUGCUGCAUGGCUGCUCGCCGCUCGUGUCGUAGAUGUUGGGUUAAGUCCUGCAACGAGCGCAAACUCCUUGUCAUUAGUUGCUACGAAAGGGCACUCUAAUGUGAGACUGCCGGUGACAAACCGGAGGAAGGUGAUGACGUCAAGUCCUCAUGGCCCUUAUGGGUAGGGCUUCACACGUCAUACAAUGGUCGGGACAGAGGGUCGCCAACCCGCGAGGGGAGCCAAUCCCAGAAACCCGAUCGUAGUCCGGAUCGCAGUCUGCAACUCGACUGCGUGAAGUCGGAAUCGCUAGUAAUCGCGGAUCAGCAUGUCGCGGUGAAUACGUUCCCGGGUCUUGUACACACCGCCCGUCACACCAUGGAGUGGGUUUUACCAGAAGCAGUUAGCCUAAAUCAAAAGGGCGGCGAUUACCACGGUAGGAUCUGGCGACUGGGGUGAAGUCGUAACAAGGUAG